AAUAGAUACCCCGGUAGUCCACGCCGUAAACGAUGGAUACUAGCUGUUCGGGAUUACCUGAGUGGCUAAGCGAAAGUGAUAAGUAUCCCACCUGGGGAGUACGGGCGCAAGCCUGAAACUCAAAGGAAUUGACGGGGGCCCGCACAAGCGGUGGAGCAUGUGGUUUAAUUCGAUGAUACGCGAGGAACCUUACCAGGGCUUAAAUGUAGGUUGCAUGAUCCAGAGAUGGGUCUUUCUUCGGACCACCUACAAGGUGCUGCAUGGUUGUCGUCAGCUCGUGCCGUGAGGUGUCAGGUUAAGUCCUAUAACGAGCGCAACCCCUAUUGUUAGUUGCCAGCGAGUCAUGUCGGGAACUCUAGCAAGACUGCCGGUGCAAACCGUGAGGAAGGUGGGGAUGACGUCAAAUCAUCACGGCCCUUACGUCCUGGGCUACACACGUGCUACAAUGGGUGGGGACAGAGAGCAGCCACUGGGCGACCAGGAGCGAAUCUAUAAACCCCGAUCACAGUUCGGAUCGGAGUCUGCAACUCG
rnacentral:rRNA from 1 species